ACUCAAAGGAAUAGACGGGGGUCCGCACAAGCAGAGGAGGAUGUGGUUUAAUAUGACGCUACGCGUAGAACCUUACCGAGGCUUGACAUCCCUGGGAUCCCGCAGAAAUGCGGGAGUGCCUUCGGGAGCCAGGUGACAGGUGCUGCAUGGCCGUCGUCAGCUCGUGUCGUGAGAUGUUGGGUUAAGUCCCGCAACGAGCGCAACCCUUAUCGUAUGUUGUAUUUUUCAUGCGAGACUGCCCGGGCCAACCGGGAGGAAGGUGGGGAUGACGUCAGGUCGGCAUGGCCCUUACGCCUCGGGCCACACACGUCCUACAAUGGCCAGUACAACGCGUUGCCAAGCCGCAAGGUGGAGCUAAUCGCAUCAAAACUGGUCUCAGUUCGGAUUGGAGGCUGCAACUCGCCUCCAUGAAGUCGGAUUUGCUAGUAAACGUGGGUCAGCACACCACGUUGAAUACGUUCCCGGACCUUGUACACACCGCCCGU
rnacentral:rRNA from 1 species